rnacentral:rRNA from 1 species
UACGUAGGUGGCAAGCGUUGUCCGGAUUUACUGGGCGUAAAGAGCGCGCGGGCGGUCGUUCAAGUCGAGUGUGAAAGCCCCCGGCUCAACUGGGGAGGGUCACUCGAUACUGAUCGACUCGAAGGCAGAAGAGGGAAGCGGAAUUCCCGGUGUAGUGGUGAAAUGCGUAGAUAUCGGGAGGAACACCAGUGGCGAAGGCGGCUUUCUGGUCUGCUCUUGACGCUGAGGCGCGAAAGCUAGGGUAGCAAACGGG